ACACGACUACAUUAGAUACCCGCGUAGUCCUAGCCGUAAACGAUACUCGCUAGGUGUCGGCCACGGUGCGACCGUUGUCGGUGCCGUAGGGAAGCCGUGAAGCGAGCCACCGUGGGAAGUACGGCCGCAAGGCUGAAACUUAAAGGAAUUGGCGGGGGAGCACCACAACGGGUGGAGCUUGCGGUUUAAUUGGAUUCAACGCCGGAAAUCUUACCGGGACCGACAGCAACAUGAAGGCCAGGCUGAAGACUUUGCCGGAUUAGUUG
rnacentral:rRNA from 1 species